UUGUUUUAACACACUUCUUUUAAUGAUAAACAAACAAUGAACAUGAGAAAUAUCGCUUUACUUUGUGCUUUUAUGUUGUCAUUUGAUGUAAAUGCUCAACUAUCAUACAAUCCGAUAACUUUGAGCGAGAAUUAUUUAAACAGAGGAUGCCCGAUUUUUAACUGCCCGUACAUAUCAUGUCCCUCUAGAUGUAAAAUGCCUACAUUGUACCGAUACAAUGGGAGACUUUGUAGAGGCUGCCAUAUUAAUAUAUGUUCAUCAUACAUACAACCUAUAGACAUGGAAAUUGGCGCCACCCUUUGAAGUUUCUAGUGGCAUAGAGUCCAGUAAAGUCUCUAAAUGAUUGUGUGAAAUCCGUAUCAAUGCUGCCAAAUAUUGUUCAUAAACUCAAGUGUCAUUGUUUUAAUU